GCCUGCCUCACAGCCAAGCUGACUCUCUUCCUCUGUUCCGCAGACACCAUGAGACUGUCGCCGUGCCCUCCCAGCCACCGUGCUCCGCCUGGUCACACCCAGGAGCAGGGAAGCCACGUGACCUCCGAAACUGUGCGCCUAAAGAAACUUGCUCAGUUAAAUUACCCUUCUCUAGUGUUCUACAGGAACAGAAGGCUUUGAUAUGUCAACAGGAAUGGCAGAGACAAAGAAGGAAAGGGAAGGGGCGGAGAAAGUGGAGAAGAGAGACUAACACAGUUUUCAUCUACACUGCUGCACUGAGAAGUGUAGGGAGGUGGCUAUCAUGUAAGUCCUGGUUUUAGGGACACGGGCUUUAAACCCCAUCACUACCAUUUAUAAGAGGUCGGAAUUUGGGGUGAGUGAGUAAACCUCCCAGAAGAAGCUCGGUCUUCUCAUCGGUAACAGAAGAUAACAGCAGAAUCUCUGAAUGCAUUGAACUAAGGAUCAAACUAACUAUCGUGAUCAGUGCUUAUCAGGAUGCCUGGCAUACUGUGAACCUCUGGUCUAGUCGUGGUUAUUUUGUGAGUGUUAGUCAUCAGCCUAAUGAGCUUUGUUUGGGUGGGGUUUAGCUACUACAUUUGUUUCUGGAGAAUAUAUAAGAGAGAUGCAGUAACAAAAAUAAGAGAAAAUGCAAGGUGUUUCUACCAGAUAUAGCCUGAAAUUAUGCUGCCUGAGGACUGAGAAAGCUACAGCUGUGGAGGAGUGACUUACUGGCCUUCACAUACUGACCGGAAGAAGAGUGAGGCUUAUUCUCUGGACCUGGUGUGGGACUGAGCAGCAUGCGUAUUUCAGGCCCAGAUUCUUAGGAAUGUGUCCAUGAAGAAACAUGCCCCCAAAAGCCAAGGAAAGCUGCCGGAAGAGAUGUAGGAUGCUAAAACCAUCGUCACUACGUACUCUGGAAAGUUUCAAGAUACAAAGAGGGGAAAAACGGGUUCGGGAUGUAAAGGAGUGAACCGGGGCCUCUCAUCCUGUGCUCUUCAGUAUCAGCUACUGAAUCGCAGCGGCAGCUGGGACACAGUGGGCCGCAAAGUUCAGGCCUCUUCUUCCUGCUAAGUCUUCCAGGGUCCCCAAUGGGUGCGGUGCACGGGAGCAGCCAGGCUGCGCUUACGUGCACAGCUGGCUGUGAACCCUGAGAAUGUGAACCCAGCUUCUCUGGAACCAAGGCAUAGAAGCUGUGCAAACAGCAAGAUCUUUCAGGAGGAAACCACACAAUUCCGCAAAUGCACGCAUCCUCCGGAUUGGACUGUGUGACUCCACCCCAGGAUUCUCAAGAGAAACCACCCUGCUGUGUGCACCUGGCUGGGAAACUGGGCAAGCUUCUCCCUGGCUGUGCCCAGGUCCCUGACCCGCAAGUCCUAGUUGUGACUGUAACAAGCAGUGAGGAGCAGUGAGGGCAGGUAAGGAGACGGCUGCUGGGGUCCGCCACGGGGAGGCCGCAUUGUAAGGCCUUUGUCUGUGGACUUAAUUGAAACCAAAUGUUUUGGGGGCCUGGAGGCUGUGGGAACAGGAGGAAUAUAAGCUGUACAUUCCUCAAGUUCAAGCAGAGAGCAGAGAGACCCCAGAAGCUCAGUGGCAGGGAAAAAGUUGACUUUCCAGAGUUUAAUCAGAGGAACGAGAGGACACAUGUACUCUGCAUUUGUAUCCACCUUCUUUUAGCAUCCCUGCACCUCUGUGGACUUCAUUUUCUUCUGCAUAAAUGAAGGUUCAGCUGCGGAUGCUAAACUGACUUCCCAAUAGCAAGUGCUUGGCAUAUAAUAGCUGAUCAACAAAUCCUUCUGGGUAAAUAAGUGGAUGGUGUUUAGCAGCAUGGGCGUUUAAUGCCCAUUUCUGCCCCUUCUUAGCCACGAGACUUGAGGCACUUUGCUCAACAUCAGUGCCUCAGUUUCUCCAUAUCAAAUGACUUUAAUAAUAGCUAGCAGGCUGAACAGCCCAAUGCACCUGCAGGCCAUCUGGUGGCUUGCAAGGCCGUUCCCUGGCUGCUCCCAGCUGACCCCAGCAGCUGGGGUCCUCACACCUUCUGGGCAGCCCUCCUCUCUGCCACCCCCAGGGGUGGGGAGAGAAGACAGUGGGAUGGCAGUGAAGAAGCAGCACGAGAAGUACAAACUCAGUAGCACUUCGGAACAUGAGAUAACGGAAAUGAGGAAAAAGGCUUAUGCUGAGCCUAGAUAGGUGACAGUGGCCCGGACCAGACGCUGGAGGUGCACUGCUGGAGGCGCCUGGCCACAGCCCAGGUUACAGGCUGCACCUCAGGCUGAGAAGUGCCCAGACUGCGCAUGCGCUCUUCAGCAGGCUCACUGCUGGUGCUGGGGCGUCCGCGGAGCUGGAGCUGGCACCCUGAGUCAGACCGCAGCGAGGCUGGGAGGAAGGGGCUACUACAGUGCCUGAGAGACCCGGACAGCCAGCGUGGGCUCUGACCUCAAAAUCACCUCGCCACGGUCACAGCCAUCUGCAGAACGACUGUUUCCUUUAUCGACCUCCGAGAAUUUAUUCUGCCCCUUAAAAAUUUUUUUGAUACUGGGGAUCGCAUAAAAUUUAAAUUUUUCAAACUUUAAUUCAAUUUUUUUAGCCUUGUUACUUUUGCUCUAUUUUCCCUAAUAGGUCCGCAGUGGCAGUACGUGAGGCUUCCAUGGCUUGUGCAGAGUGGGGUGUGGACACCACAAGUCUUCGCUGAUGUCUUAUCCCCUUCUGGCCUCUCUGUUUCCCCUGCGCCCAUCUAGUGGUCCUCUGCCCCUCUGAGAAAGAUCUGUCUCCCUAGGCCCUAUCACUUGUCUUUUAAUGGUUCUUUAUCUUUCGGGCUUCUCGUACAGAGUACGCCAUGCAUGUUUAAGGCUGAGCGCUCGGUUUAUUUCAUCCUGGUCUCCUCCAGUUGACUCGGGUUAUCCCCUUCAGGGCACAGUCGUGCUCCGCUGUUCUCUCUGUACCUUCACCUGCUGAUGGACACACAGCUGCUCCGGGGAGUCGGCCCUUAGGAGCUGUGCUGCAAAGGGCUCAGCCGCUUCCUCACAUGCAGUUCCUGAUAACUGUGUGAUGUGAAUAUCCAUGUGCCUACUUUCUACACCUUCCCUCGGGUGUUUUCUCCUUACUGGAGGCUACUUCCAGUUGUUGCUUAUCUGUUUACCAGUUUCUCUGUGUGCAAUGUGGGCCUUCACUAGCACAGUGUGUUUCAUGAGAGCUAAGGCUCCGCCUGGCCCAGGCCCAGUCCCAGCACCCAGAGGGGCGCUAGCAACCUCAGGAGUUCCAGAACUGCAUGUUUCUUGGGUAAAAGAUGCCCACUUCCUGUGGGCUGGGGUAGUCCUUGAGUCUCAGAUUCUGAGAAAACCACACUCCUAUGAACAUUACCAGCACCCUUCAAAAUAUUUUUUGCUUUUGGUGACAGCUCCCACUUUUCCCUUCCCUGUACAAUCAGAGGACCACUUCUCCCAGUGUCAUGUUUCCUCCUAUCCAUAGGGAGUUCUGAGAAGUCUUAGGUCAUGGCCACAAGUAGAAGAGAAGCGUCACCCUGUAAUGCCUUGAGACCUGCGAUGGGGGACAGACCCCUCGGCUUGUGGCUGGACAUUCUCCACCUUCUUUUUCAGCAUUAAUACUUUUAUCAAAUAAAAUGCCUCCUUAUGAAUUCCAA